CGCACGUGCGUGCGUGCGUGUGUGUGUGUGUGUGUGUGUGUGUGUGUGUGUGUGUGUGUGUAUGCGCGUGUGUGUAUCGGACUGUACUCUGUUGUUUUCUUCUACAGCUCAGAUAACUUCUCACUUUCCUUUGCCCUUAAGUCUCACUCUAGAUGUUCUGCUAGAUAAGCUUGUUUACUAGUGCAGUUUCAACUCCCUGUUUUAUGGUGGUGAUGCUCAAGUCAAAAUCUGGAGGCAAUACUGCUCUGAGUUUCAGCAUCCUUUAUCCGACUCCAUCUGCACUCUCUAUCUCUCAGAUACCCCACACGCCAGCUGCACAACAGGGUCAUGAGAUUCACACCUCUCUCUGCUCUGUGACCUGUGACCCGCUGUGUGAAUAGCAUCUCUUUACCACAUUGUUAAAGCUAUACGCCUAAAAGCUCUCCCGAGGCCUCCUCUUCCUCAAACAUCUAGUCAAAGCUGGCCAUGGAGAGUGUCCCCCCACCCCCUGCCCCUGCCGCCAUGCCACUUCCAAAAUCUGUCAGACCAGGCACACAACUCAGCUCCAUCUCCUGCUUACUGUCUUGUCCUCCGUCUUCAAGAGUGAACUUUCUGAGCUAUGAUUCAACUGUGCAUUCUCCUUCAAGCUACCCAUGGCUACCCCUUGGUCUUAGGAUAGAAUCUAAACUCUUGAGUAUUGCUUACAAAGCUUGUAUGUUCCUGAAUUCUUUACCUCGACCCUCUGUGUCUUUCAGCUACUGUCUUUGAAGUCUUCCAAACUCUCUUUUACUUCAGGGUCUGCUUCAUUCUGCUGCUGCUUUCAUCUGGUUAUGAUUGCCUGUUCUUAAACCUGGCAGGGGCCUCUCCGCCUGCAAGAAGUCUGUGAGCUACCAGUCUAGGGAUAAGGCCUCCCAUCACUCCCUUACUAUUCCAUAUCACAACAUUUAUUUCUGCAGAUAUAGUUAUCUCUUGAGGAGUUUCUAUUUUCAUUCUCCCAUAAAUUCUUUGAGGACAGCAACUUGAUAGUUACUUCAUCAUACAUAAAGGUUUUUGGAGAAAGAUACCCACAAAUGUACACCUGAAGAGGUUAUACCCAUCCUAAGCAGAACGUGACCUAAUGAAUGAGAUAGAUAAUCUGUCUUUCUUCCUGUAUCUCCACAUGUGUCCUUGUAACAUCAUAUUUAGUCAAAUAGAAAGAGAUUUCGGAAAUGUUGGACCUUGAAGGAUUCUUACAGAUCACCUUUAUUUUAUGCAUGAAUAACCAAGGUCCAGGGAGAGAAGGCCACUUUGUCACCCCCCCCCCCCCCCAUGGAGAGUCCCCGAACCCGUGCCCUAGCAUUCUUUUCAGGCUUCUUCAUUUUGGCCACUUUGAUAUGUUUGAGAUAACGGUCCACUUUCUCUUUCUCUCUCUCUCUCUUUUUCAUUUUAGUUUCUUUAGAUGACUAGUGGGUAGAACAAAUUUUUAAUAUUCAACAGCUAUUUGACAUUUAUCUUUAUUCUAAAGAUAAAUCUCUAAAACCUUCAUCAAUUUUAUUGGAUCAUCUGCUUCUCUCUUUUAUGGUUAGGAAUUUCUUACAUAUUCUGUAUAUGAAUUCUUAAAUUUCCCUUAAUGUUGUUUAGUCAUCUGGGACCCAGUGUAUGCAUAGGCAGCCACCCUUGAGGGAAAUGCUCAUCUGCAGGAAGUGUUUGAGGAUAUUUCUUGGGAGUGCUGUUUGUAAAAGUAUACAAUUGGAAAUGCAUAAAUGUAUGUUUGUCUACUCCAGUUUGUCUAAUCCUGAGUGAGUCAGUAAAUUAUGGUCUGCUCACAUAAUGGCAAUAAGAGCAUAAAUGAACUAACUGGUUCUACAUGUUCUCUACAGAGUUGGUGCCAGAAACUAGUACGUCGCAUAGAAGAAUAGAUAAAAUAAUACACACGGCAUGUGAUGCAGUCAAAUACUAAUUUACAUUUCUGAGUAAAUACAUAUGAGCUAGAAGUGAAAGAAGAGCAGUCUAAGUACUAUGAGUGAGUGCUGCUCCAGCAGGGGAUCAGAGUUCAGUUCCCAGCACCUGUGUCCACUGGGCCACAGCCAUCUCUUACUCCAUUUCCAAGGAAUCAGGUGCCUCUGGCACCCUUCAGCUCUGCACUCACAUGUACACACCCCACCAUUAAAGACAAUUAGAUAUAAUCUUUAAAAAACAAACAAACAAACAAAAAUCCCUCCAAAAUCGUGACUGGAAGAACAUUCUUCCUCCCUAGGGAAGAAGACAGGAUAAAGGUUGGGUACUCAAUUUGGCCUGUGAUAGGCCUUGUUAAAAGAGAUUUAUGGAAAAUGGAAAGAUGUUAGCACAUGGUAAGUUUGAGCUCUGAGUAAAUGAAUGCCUGUGGCCUUAUUCUGUAUUAUUUGUGUACAAUUGAAUUAUUUCUGAAUAAAAGAAAAUAUAAAAACCUGGCAAAAGAGGUAGAUCAGAACUUUUUCCCAGUCAAACUAACAGAAUAUGCACACACACACACACACACACACACACACACACACACACACACACACACACACACAUUAUACAUGAAACACAUUUAAAUAACUUGCAAUAGAAGAGGUGGAAUGCAGGAAAGUUUUAAUGUGAAGGAAGGACAGAAGCGAAAAUAGGGCAGUGACGGAGAAGGUACAGGGAGGGAUGGAGAGUUGGCGAAGGAAGGAUGCUUAUAAAAUACUGUGCUACAUAGCUUGCCUUGGGAGGAGUUGGAGGGAGAAACACAUCAUUACGAGUCAUAAUCAUUGAUUAAACCUUUAUAAAUCAUUAUAGUAACAUAUUAUAGGAACUGAAAAAAAUCACAUAGGCCAACGUGUCCUUCAUGUUAGUCAUAAGACAAACAAGGCCCAGAAAAACAGAAAGAUAAGUCCGGGCAUUUUAUUUGAGAAUAUCUGUAUCCAGCUAUUCCUGUCAGUGAAUGUACUUGUACUGGCUGACUUUUCAGUUGAUGUGAGUUAUAUGUUUUAGACAGAUGGUUAAAAGGACAUAAAUCUUGAUUAGGAAGCAAGGAUAUUGUUGUGACUACAGAAAUGUCACAAUACAGACUAAUGGGUAGCCCCACAGGUAACACCUGUGAAAUGGGUGUCAUUAUGGAGACUCUCAAAGAGGGACACUAGAAUUCAAUUGCUGCUGCCUCCCACUUGUGCCUGGGGGCAUCUUGCUUGCUAGCUGAUCAAUAUCAUUCUGGUUACAUCUGUCUUUUAUAACUCCAAUAAAGACUAUCUCAUUAGGUGGCCCAAAGCCAAGAGAUAACUAUGAAGAUCUUCCAUGAAGUUCUUACAAAAGGUGGCCUCAGGUCACUACCACUAAGGUGAGUCACUGUGAUUUUCCUUAGGGACUUUCUUCUAGUUACAGGCUAGUGGGCAGAUCUGGAAUGAACCAAUAAGUUUACAUCUUUGUGUUGGUAACAUAGUCAGAGAUCAUGGUGAGGAAUGACCUUAAUAAAGAUAGAGGAGGCAGCUGACUGAGGCAUGAAACACUGGUCCAUAGGUUUUCCUACCCUAAGGGGCCUCACAUUCCCCCAGCCAGAGACAAAGGUCUGCAGAUGUUGGCGGGCUUGCUAUCUCCUCUGACACGAGAAGAGGGUCUUCCAAAGGUAUCAUCAGGAGCUUUCCCUCCAGCAUAUCGGCACAAUAGUGAAUUUCCUAGAUUAGCUAAUCACAUCUUUCAAAGACAUAGGGAGCCUUGUCCUCAGAAGGUGACAUAUAAAAUUGGCAGGUUUCAACUUGCUCAGGAGAAGGUGGACCCAAUGAAAACAAACAAACAAACAUAAGAAACUCAAACUUCUGUUGGUCACGCCCAAUUGUGGUGUCACCAGGCGAUUUCAUUCUAUUUUAUACUUCCUCAAACAUUAAUGCUUUCCUUUGUGAUAUUUAGGAAGGUUUGAUUUAGACAGUCGUUUGCGUGAUUGGUAUUCAUUGGUUUUUCUGGCUAAACUGUAAAUCUCAUGAGACCAGGGACCACAUCUCUUUUAUUAUUUACAUCAUCUCAGAGCCUUGCCAGAAAUCUAGUUUAUGUUAUUAAGUUCCACACGUACCUGUUGACUGUGUUGUUAAGUGAGUGAAUGAGUGAGGGAGUGAAUGAGUAUAAGAACACAAGGCGUUAAUGAAGGAUGACUGAAUUCAAUGGAGAUCACACCAACGCUCUAUGGGCUAUUGGUGGGAGAUCAUUGUACAACAAUCUAGAACAAGCUCUUUAAAGAUAGGGGCCUAGUGGGAACAGUGUGACAUCAUGAUUCGUUAAUGGUGCUGCGAUGGCUGUGUUCCCUCACUUAUUAUGUGACCUCAGGUAGCUCAGUUCUUCACUCUGAUCCACUGUUUUCCCCCUUUAUACAAUGAGAACAGGGAAAUGAAACAGUUUUGAAUGGGCAUGAGGACUAAAUAAGAUAAAGAGGCAGUUUAUAAACUUUUCUAAUAGGUCUUUUUUUUUUUUUUGCGGAAGUGGGGUUACAUUAAACAACACUCAGUUUUAUUAAUGAAAAAUGGAUAUAUCAGUGGUAUCAUGGACAGAACCACAAGAAAAACAGCAAGGGUAGAGCUGUAUAGAGCAGCAUUGAUGGACUUAUUCUUCAAAUCACUGUCAAGAGCUGGGGUAUGGAGCAGGCAUGCCUGAGGUCCAGGAAGAAGUGUAGGAUAGUGGGUAACCAAGACUUGUUUCUGAGUAUAAAAGGAAGUUAUCCCUGGGUAAGCUGUCAGUUACAUUUAGGAAGUUUCUUCAUUUUUCAUGAGGUGGUCACACCUGAGUGACUCUGCAAUGUCACUCCUCAAGUUCCAAAGACAGUCCUAUCUAGAGAAAGAAAGACCUUGAAGGUGUCUCUUUCCAAAUGGAGGCAGCCAGUACAAGCUUUUCAGGUUUGAGACUCUGGUGAUCAAAGUUUCAACACAAUUUCUGUUUUGUCAUUGGUACUGGCUUUGACGACCUAAGUGAACUGCGGUUGAGAUGACUCAGGCUGGAAAGGCCUUGCAUCAGUAUGGAGUGGCAUCACACCUCCCUUCCUGGAACCACUUGCUCUAGACGACCUAUCCUAGAGGAUAUCACUUCCAAUUCCCCAUGAUAUUGUAGUCUUGCUUUAUGCGACUCUCAGAAUAGGAAGUGGAAAAAAGUAUCUAUCAUCCAGAAUUCUGUUGUCUGUUUGAUUGGCUAGCAGCACUCUCUGCCCCUUGUAACCUCCAACUACAUACUGCCCAAGAUAGUGAUGUCUUAUAUGACAUAAACUAUUUUAUACUUUAGUUGAGGUUGAAGGACAGGUGUGAAUUUCAUGGUGGUCAUCACUGAUACUUUCUUUACAACUUUAAUUCCUUUUGUAUUUCAGAAGAAACUAAGAACUUCUUACUCCUUAGUAUCCAUCCAUUAAAGAAGUAGUCAUAAUCAGGCUUGAUUUUUGGUGAUUGUUUCUGUGGUAAGGGGAUAUAAGUUUUUUGUUUUUAAAUACAAUCUUCCCUUGGCUUCCUUUUACUUAAAUUGGAUGCAUAUGUAAGUAGCAUCGAAGUUUUCCUUCCCUUUUUUGAAGAGAUGAUGAUUUUAUUUAUUUAUUUGAUUUUUUUGAGACAGGUUUCUCUGUGUAGCCCUGGCUGCUCUGGAACUCAAUCUGUAGACCAGACCUGCCUUGAACUCAUAGAGAUCUGCCUGCCUCUGCCUUUCAAGUGCUGGGGUUAAAGGCGUGUGCAACCACUGCCAGUUCUUAGAAAAAUUAAGCAAGUUCAGUGAUUUCUCCUAUUACAUUGACAUUGUUUUCUAUUUUGGUACAGUUGCACAGUGAUAGCUUAUUAACUAGAGUUUGGUUUUACGUCCUGUCUCACUCAGGCAUCUGCCUGCUUCUGCAGGUUCUGACAGAGGUGUGUCCUGUGUCCACUAUUAACAUCAUAUACAAGAGUUCCCCUGUCCCACAGAUUUAUGUGUUUCCCUUUUGUUUCCUUCUUCUCCUAGAGCCCUCACUGGAGUAAUUUUACAGACACUGGUAACAUACACAUUAUGCUAAUAAAUAGAACAAUUUCAGAAACAUGAUGAAAACUAAUGGGCUAGCUGUACUAAUUUUCAUUCUAUUAUUAUUUUCAUCUUAUUACUUUAAACUGUUUUUGAAAAUAUUUUGUUAAAUGAAGACGAUUUAAUUUCUCAAAAAUUUCCAGUGAAACUUGUUUUUUGUGACUGUGAGGUGACAGUCUCUCACUGAAUCUAGAACGUGGCUGGUCAUCAGCAGCUCUAGUGAGCUUUUGGUCUCUAUCUGACAGGGUGUUGGGGUUUCAGGCACAGGCAGCCAUAUCUGGUGUUUUUACAUGAGUGUUGGGAUUCAGACUCAGGUUUCCAUGCUUGCAGAGCACGUGCCCUUCCUUACCCACUGAGCCGUCUCUCCAGACAGACCUUUAUUUUGUUUUCAAGACAGGAUGCUUCAGCCUCUCUGGUGUUGGAAUCACAGGUGUGCGUCACACUACUGACUGUUUUAAUCAUCUAUUCAUGUCUCUGGUAUUGGAACUCUCCCUCAGCCCUGAAAAAAUAUAUGUCUAGAAUAGGAACAGAUAUUUUCUUGGUAUUUUACGUUCUUCUUGGAGAUGGAGGCAUCGGCCUGUAGCUAAGGCUUGCUUGUGAGUCAUCAAAUCAGAAUAACUGCUCCCCUCUUAGCCUCGUCAGCUUCAGCAGAGGCAGAAGCAGCAUCAAGAGUCUUUUAAACUCCUCAUUGUAUGUGACACUGAUGGCCUAAGCUAUCAGAAGAACUGGUUGGUGGUCAUUUUCUGGAUCUCUGGGCCUUUACCCAGGGCUUUUCCUGACUCCUGGAGAGGUGCUGGGAUUUGUUGUCACACAGUGAGACUUAGGUUCCUGCAGUGGGUCUCCCUUCGCCCUGACAUUGCCCUAGUGUGUUGUAGAACCGAAGAACAUGAAGAAGAUGGUAGAGGGAGAUUCUCUUCCCCCUCCACCAAAGGGACAGAAACUUCCAGACAUGACAGUUUCCUAAAAUACAGUUGGCCUAAUUUGUGUGAAUGUCACUUUUUCUGAAUGUCAUGAACUCCAUCGCUUCCUUUAGAAUAUGAUACUUGUUUUUGUUUUUUUUUUCUUCUUAGUUAAGGAAAAGGGAGCAUGUUGAAUACAUUAUGAAGGCUACUCUUCUAAUUAAUGAAAAGACUUGGCUGAGUUUAAAAAACAAGUGACUCUUUUCAUAUCCAAGUUACUUUUAGAAGUGCCUAUAAAUUAUUACCUUCCUCUGUAUAAGAGGUGUCUCAUGACUAAAGGCUGAGACAGCCUCCAUCAUGCUCUUUAACAAUGACUCCUAUGUUUCUUUGGUAAACUCAUAAUGUUAAUUACACUCUGCAACAGAUGGAGCACCUUCCAUCCAGGACCUCAGUGCACCUUGCAAAUGUCAUAAACCUUCAAAGCCCUUCCAUAAUGGAGGUAAGUAUCUAUGGUCACACUUUUAUAGGCAAAGAAGCACAAAGCAGGCAAGUGUUUUGUUUUUUAAAGUGGAAUAUGCUUUGGUCAAAGAUUUAGUCAUCACUAAGAGUGUAGUGAAAACCCAUGAACACCUACUGAAGGGUAACUGAGUGAAGUGUCCCACUGGCGAGCUUGGCUUUUCCUGCCAGGGAACACCUGGACAAUAUUAUUUGAAAAGCCACAUGUUAAUAAAUCAAAAAUUAUCUGCUGAUAAUUAGUCAGUUUUUACAAUGAUUAGUGUAGAAAAUGGCUCCUGGACCUUCAUAGUGAUAUGGCAAAUUCUGAAAAUAGAAAUGGCCAAACACCUUCUUCUUCUUCUCUUUCUCCUCCUCCUCCUCCUUCUCUACUACUACUAUUGUUAUUUCCCCACCCACUCAUGUGUGUUACAUGGUGUCUGUGAGGAGCAUCUACAGUGGUCCAGGAACAACUUCCUGAUUUUAGUUCUCUCCUUCCACCUUUACGUGGCACAUGAAUUACUUUUGUGUUGAUGUGAUAAAAAACCUAUGACCAAAAGCAAUUUAAGGAAGAAAAAGAUUUAUUUUGGCUUACAGGUUCAGAGGGAUGGAGUUCAUUAUGACUGGGAAGGCAUGAUGAUUGUUAGAAGACGCAUGGUGACAGGAACUGGAAGCUGGCUGAUCACAUUUUUAUCCACACACACAGGAAGUAGAGUGAAGCCAUAAAUUCUCCAAACCCAUUCCCAGUGACUUCCUCAAAGAGAGCUAGACCUUCUAAAGUUUCCAUACCCUCCUCAAAUAGCAGCACCAGCUGGGGACCAAGUGUUGAAACAUAAAAUUACCGAGGCCAUUUCCUAUUUAAACCACAGCAUGUUGGUUCCAAGACUGAUCUCAGGUCAUCAGGCUUGCAUCUCAGGCAAAAGUGCCUGAACUCACCAAACCAUCUCAUUGGUCCUCCAUACACUUUUUUUCACUUGAUCUUUGCCAAAAGGCCAAGAAGUGAUCCCCAAACACUUUUAUAAUCUGACACCGAAGGAAUGGAACUUAGAGAUGAGUACAGAGACUAUCUAGUCAAGCGUUUUCAUAAUUUAGAUGAGAAAAUUGGGAUUGAGGAAGGUUAAUAAGUAACUUUCAUGAAAUCACUCAGCUUUUAAAACCUUAAUUUAAUUUCUCUGCCCUCCCUUUUCGUGCAGAAAGGGUUUAAUUUGGCUUAGUCAUUCAGUUGGCUAGUGGCAUCAAUAACUAAAAUCCAGGCUCCUGGCCCUCAUCAACCCAUCUUCCCAAUGAACUACAUUUUUAAAAACAUUCAUAGCGCCGGGCGGUGGCACACGCCUUUAAUCCCAGCACUUGGGCGGAUCUCUGUGAGUUCAAGGCCAGCCUGGUCUACAAAGCGAGUUCCAGGAAAGGCGCAAAGCUACACAGAGAAACCCUGUCUUGAAAAAAACAAAAAACAAAACAAAACAAAAACAUUCAUAGUGUGUGCUUUUCUGCAUCCUAAGUAUUAUGAAAUCAUAAGAUGUGGGAAUUGUGAGGAGUUGACUAUUGUUCUUUAAUUUCAGAGGAAUCUGAUACUCAGGGAGCUUAAGGGAAUCACUACCAGCCAUAGAGUCACAGAAACCCAGACUCACAAUUUCCCCUUCCUUCCACAGAUCUGAAAUGUUCCUUGUUAACUAGGAUCCCAGCAACCAAAACCAUCAAUACAGUUUUAUACUGACUUUUCAGAAGUAUGCUUUUAUUGAAGACAAUUUAAAACAAAAUAAAUCACAACAAAAACUCCAGGGAAUGCCAUUAGGGAAUACCAAAGUGUCCGACAGCACUACAAUAAAGUCCUAACAUUUUCUCCAAUGAAACGGAUGACUUGAGUGAUCAGUGGCCUUUGUUAGAGAAGCAGGGAUGUCAAGAUGAACUCCAUGAAUCCAUUAACAUCGGGAGUCUACCUAGUAACUGAAGUUCUGGGCUUAAGUUCCAGCCUUCGCAACUUGAAUACAGGUGGUUCAACGCACAGGAAGGAGCUUCUACUGUGUACCACAUGGGAGGCUGCCUAAAAGUCAUAAUAUAUGUGAGAAAAGAGGACAAUGGUGAAAUUGAGUUAGUUUCCCAGCCACUCACUUCAUCUUUUAAUUCACUACUAUUUAGCUUUUUUUUUUUUUUUUUUUGCUAGCUGUGAUGUUGCUCUGAAAACCCAGCACUUGGAAGACAAAGGCAGGUAGAUCAUUGCAAGUUCUAGAUCAGCAUAGUCUACAUAUCAAGUUCUCAGAGAAACAGGACUAUGUAGUAAGAUCGUAUCUCUGAGAGACCAAGAAGGGGGCUGGAGAAAGAGAGCUCAGCCGAUGCAGUGCCUGUUCUGCAGGCGUGAAGACCUCAGUUUGAGCCUCUGAAGUUGCGUUAAAGGGCCAGGCAUGGGGGCAUGGAUUUAUAAUCCCAGAAUGUCUCACCUAAUUUGCAAGCCCUUGGCCAAUGAAAGAUCCAUCACAAAAAGCAAGAUAGGCAAUGCCAAUGGAAGAAUGAUACCCAGAGUGUCCCCUGGCUUUCACAUCUGUGUGCAGUCCCACCUGCAUAUUCAUAUAAACUCACAUAAAAGCCCCCAUUUCCAAAAAAUUAUAUACUUUUUCACAUAUUGUAUAGCUAGAAAAAAUGUACAAAUGGCAGUGUUAUUACAAUAAAUGUUCAGAUAUGGGGAUGGAGUCAAUAACCAGGAAGCGUUAUAAGUGAAUUGGGAUUAAAUUUUUAUUUCUACUAAUAAAUAAAUAAAGUGUAAAGUUUGUUUGCCAAA